CGGCGGAACCUUUUUCAACUGUCUCUUCCCCCACCCUUCUAAAUUCUUUCCUGUGUGAAGAAACCCAGAUACAUCAGAAAGACGAGAAGACCCUGUCGAGCUUUAACCACUAGGUGAGUUUACUUAUCCCUUUUUUAAAUAUCACCAAAAGGUUUUGGUUGGGGCAACCACGGAGAAAAAAAAUCCUCCAGAUUAAAUAGAAGAAAACUCUUCACUAUUACGCUUUCAAGAACCAGGAACUGGUAAUCGGAAAAAGUUACCGCAGGGAUAACAGCGUUAUCUCCUCUAAGAGUCCUUAUUGACGAGGAGGUUUGCGACCUCGAUGUUGGAUUGGGGCCCCCUUAGGGUGCAGAAGCUCUAAACGGUUAGACUGUUCGUCUAUUAAAGCCCUACGUGAUCUGAGU
rnacentral:rRNA from 1 species